rnacentral:miRNA from 1 species
UUGUUGUUGCUGCUGUGAUGCU